CCAGUUUUACCCCCGUCUAAGUCAACUAUGCAGACUCUAUAAAUAACUAAAGGGCUUCCUUCGCAUAGGACUUGGGAAAGAACAGAGGACCCUGAACUGGGGAUGAAGACACCGUGCGGAGAAUCACGCGGAUGCAGCCAAGGGUGAGACGACCAGCGUUAAACCACAUUCGUAUUUCCUUCCUCACAGAAUGUUGAAAAUCUGGAUCAAGACUAUGGAUAAUGGGCCCAAGGAGAUUCAUUUUGAACCAGUAUUUGUGAAAGCAUCAAGCUGAAGAAGAAAAU
rnacentral:lncRNA from 1 species